rnacentral:rRNA from 1 species
GGUUAAGCGACUAAGCGUACACGGUGGAUGCCCUGGCAGUCAGAGGCGAUGAAGGACGUGCUAAUCUGCGAUAAGCGUCGGUAAGGUGAUAUGAACCGUUAUAACCGGCGAUUUCCGAAUGGGGAAACCCAGUGUGUUUCGACACACUAUCAUUAACUGAAUCCAUAGGUUAAUGAGGCGAACCGGGGGAACUGAAACAUCUAAGUACCCCGAGGAAAAGAAAUCAACCGAGAUUCCCCCAGUAGCGGCGAGCGAACGGGGAGCAGCCCAGAGCCUGAAUCAGUGUGUGUGUUAGUGGAAGCGUCUGGAAAGGCGCGCGAUACAGGGUGACAGCCCCGUACACAAAAAUGCACAUGCUGUGAGCUCGAUGAGUAGGGCGGGACACGUGGUAUCCUGUCUGAAUAUGGGGGGACCAUCCUCCAAGGCUAAAUACUCCUGACUGACCGAUAGUGAACCAGUACCGUGAGGGAAAGGCGAAAAGAACCCCGGCGAGGGGAGUGAAAAAGAACCUGAAACCGUGUACGUACAAGCAGUGGGAGCACAGAGCAAUCUGUGUGACUGCGUACCUUUUGUAUAAUGGGUCAGCGACUUAUAUUCUGUAGCAAGGUUAACCGAAUAGGGGAGCCGAAGGGAAACCGAGUCUUAACUGGGCGUUAAGUUGCAGGGUAUAGACCCGAAACCCGGUGAUCUAGCCAUGGGCAGGUUGAAGGUUGGGUAACACUAACUGGAGGACCGAACCGACUAAUGUUGAAAAAUUAGCGGAUGACUUGUGGCUGGGGGUGAAAGGCCAAUCAAACCGGGAGAUAGCUGGUUCUCCCCGAAAGCUAUUUAGGUAGCGCCUCGUGAAUUCAUCUCCGGGGGUAGAGCACUGUUUCGGCAAGGGGGUCAUCCCGACUUACCAACCCGAUGCAAACUGCGAAUACCGGAGAAUGUUAUCACGGGAGACACACGGCGGGUGCUAACGUCCGUCGUGAAGAGGGAAACAACCCAGACCGCCAGCUAAGGUCCCAAAGUCAUGGUUAAGUGGGAAACGAUGUGGGAAGGCCCAGACAGCCAGGAUGUUGGCUUAGAAGCAGCCAUCAUUUAAAGAAAGCGUAAUAGCUCACUGGUCGAGUCGGCCUGCGCGGAAGAUGUAACGGGGCUAAACCAUGCACCGAAGCUGCGGCAGCGACGCUUAUGCGUUGUUGGGUAGGGGAGCGUUCUGUAAGCCUGCGAAGGUGUGCUGUGAGGCAUGCUGGAGGUAUCAGAAGUGCGAAUGCUGACAUAAGUAACGAUAAAGCGGGUGAAAAGCCCGCUCGCCGGAAGACCAAGGGUUCCUGUCCAACGUUAAUCGGGGCAGGGUGAGUCGACCCCUAAGGCGAGGCCGAAAGGCGUAGUCGAUGGGAAACAGGUUAAUAUUCCUGUACUUGGUGUUACUGCGAAGGGGGGACGGAGAAGGCUAUGUUGGCCGGGCGACGGUUGUCCCGGUUUAAGCGUGUAGGCUGGUUUUCCAGGCAAAUCCGGAAAAUCAAGGCUGAGGCGUGAUGACGAGGCACUACGGUGCUGAAGCAACAAAUGCCCUGCUUCCAGGAAAAGCCUCUAAGCAUCAGGUAACAUCAAAUCGUACCCCAAACCGACACAGGUGGUCAGGUAGAGAAUACCAAGGCGCUUGAGAGAACUCGGGUGAAGGAACUAGGCAAAAUGGUGCCGUAACUUCGGGAGAAGGCACGCUGAUAUGUAGGUGAAGUCCCUCGCGGAUGGAGCUGAAAUCAGUCGAAGAUACCAGCUGGCUGCAACUGUUUAUUAAAAACACAGCACUGUGCAAACACGAAAGUGGACGUAUACGGUGUGACGCCUGCCCGGUGCCGGAAGGUUAAUUGAUGGGGUUAGCGGUAACGCGAAGCUCUUGAUCGAAGCCCCGGUAAACGGCGGCCGUAACUAUAACGGUCCUAAGGUAGCGAAAUUCCUUGUCGGGUAAGUUCCGACCUGCACGAAUGGCGUAAUGAUGGCCAGGCUGUCUCCACCCGAGACUCAGUGAAAUUGAACUCGCUGUGAAGAUGCAGUGUACCCGCGGCAAGACGGAAAGACCCCGUGAACCUUUACUAUAGCUUGACACUGAACAUUGAGCCUUGAUGUGUAGGAUAGGUGGGAGGCUUAGAAGUGUGGACGCCAGUCUGCAUGGAGCCGACCUUGAAAUACCACCCUUUAAUGUUUGAUGUUCUAACGUUGACCCGUAAUCCGGGUUGCGGACAGUGUCUGGUGGGUAGUUUGACUGGGGCGGUCUCCUCCUAAAGAGUAACGGAGGAGCACGAAGGUUGGCUAAUCCUGGUCGGACAUCAGGAGGUUAGUGCAAUGGCAUAAGCCAGCUUGACUGCGAGCGUGACGGCGCGAGCAGGUGCGAAAGCAGGUCAUAGUGAUCCGGUGGUUCUGAAUGGAAGGGCCAUCGCUCAACGGAUAAAAGGUACUCCGGGGAUAACAGGCUGAUACCGCCCAAGAGUUCAUAUCGACGGCGGUGUUUGGCACCUCGAUGUCGGCUCAUCACAUCCUGGGGCUGAAGUAGGUCCCAAGGGUAUGGCUGUUCGCCAUUUAAAGUGGUACGCGAGCUGGGUUUAGAACGUCGUGAGACAGUUCGGUCCCUAUCUGCCGUGGGCGCUGGAGAACUGAGGGGGGCUGCUCCUAGUACGAGAGGACCGGAGUGGACGCAUCACUGGUGUUCGGGUUGUCAUGCCAAUGGCACUGCCCGGUAGCUAAAUGCGGAAGAGAUAAGUGCUGAAAGCAUCUAAGCACGAAACUUGCCCCGAGAUGAGUUCUCCCUGACUCCUUGAGAGUCCUGAAGGAACGUUGAAGACGACGACGUUGAUAGGCCGGGUGUGUAAGCGCAGCGAUGCGUUGAGCUAACCGGUACUAAUGAACCGUGAGGCUUAACCUU